rnacentral:lncRNA from 1 species
GUUUGCUAAAAUCCAAGGCAGGAUGUGGAAAGUGGAUUAGAGAACAAAUCUGACUCCAUAUUGGAUAUGUUUCUUUUACUUUAACCUUUGUACUGUAUUGCUUUUGCUAAGAGUUAGGAAUGUUGCCUAGAGCCUGAAAUAUACAAAGUAUCCCAUUCUUCAGGAAUAUCAUGGCCUGUGGACAUAUUGGACAACUGCAAGAACAAAGGAUUCCUACACCAAGAAGUCUGUAAUAAACAGCCACACCUCUUCCUCUUUGAGUAGAAAAGAAGCCUGGAUUCAAACUCUGUCAUGCUGACUCUGCCCAUUCCUGUGACUGCAGCCUGAUCUCACCUAGCCUGGGGUCUGCACCUUUUGUAAAAGAAUGUUGCCUAUGGCCUGAAAUAUCCAGGACAGCCCAUUCUCAAGGCUCUCACCUUUAAAGGUAUAAUACUUUUCCAUUCAUAAGAAGAUUACAAGGUGCAGAACAGAGAAUAACAUUUGUUCUGUGGAAGUUUACAAGAACAUUGUGACCUGACCUACAUGGACAGCUGCUAGAACAAAGAAUACAUCACCAAAAAGUUUGCAACAACUAACCAGCUCUUCCCUCAUGGUACCUUGAAAAAUGCUUU